rnacentral:ncRNA from 2 species
AAGGUGACGCACGGGAGCCCGGCACAGCGGGCUGAGAGGGGACGCGAACCGUCCCGACCGUCGAACCUGAUCCGGGUCAUGCCGGCGCAGGGAGCGGGGAGAUGAGCACG